UGCUAAGUCAGGGAGCAUGAGUACUCCUGACCAUUGGUAUAUGAGAUAAACAGGCCGCUAGAGAAAUUAGUAGACAGGUCGUAUUUGACCGAGAGCGAGUCUUACAUACGAGUCCGAAAAUUCUAGAUAAGCAUAUCAAAAGAGAUAAAAGGUAAUGUUUAAAUUA